AGCAGUGUGGUAUAGUGGUAUGAAGCAGGGCUCACAACCAAAAGGUUGCUGGUUCAAUUCUCUGCUUGGGCACUGCUG